rnacentral:rRNA from 1 species
UCUCCUGGAAAACGGGUGGUAAUGCCGGAUGCUCCAGUUGAUCGCAUGGUCUUCUGGGAAAGCUUUCGCGGUAUGGGAUGGGGUCGCGUCCUAUCAGCUUGACGGCGGGGUAACGGCCCACCGUGGCUUCGACGGGUAGCCGGCCUGAGAGGGCGACCGGCCACAUUGGGACUGAGAUACGGCCCAGACUCCUACGGGAGGCAGCAGUGGGGAAUAUUGCACAAUGGGCGCAAGCCUGAUGCAGCGACGCCGCGUGAGGGAUGGAGGCCUUCGGGUUGUAAACCUCUUUUAUCGGGGAGCAAGCGAGAGUGAGUUUACCCGUUGAAUAAGCACCGGCUAACUACGUGCCAGCAGCCGCGGUAAUACGUAGGGUGCAAGCGUUAUCCGGAAUUAUUGGGCGUAAAGGGCUCGUAGGCGGUUCGUCGCGUCCGGUGUGAAAGUCCAUCGCUUAACGGUGGAUCCGCGCCGGGUACGGGCGGGCUUGAGUGCGGUAGGGGAGACUGGAAUUCCCGGUGUAACGGUGGAAUGUGUAGAUAUCGGAAAGAACACCAACCCGUUU